rfam:Spirochaetaceae bacterium 4572_7 ex4572_7_scaffold_18078, whole genome shotgun sequence.
GCCGCUGUAGCUCAGUCGGUAGAGCAGGGGACUGAAAAUCCCUGUGUCAAGAGUUCAAGUCUCUUUGGUGGCA